rnacentral:rRNA from 1 species
GAUGAACGCUAGCGGCAGGCUUAACACAUGCAAGUCGAGGGGUAGAGGUUGCUUGCAACCUUGAGACCGGCGCACGGGUGCGUAACGCGUAUGCAACCUACCUUUUACAGAGGGAUAGCCCAGAGAAAUUUGGAUUAAUACCUCAUAGUAUAUAGUCUUCGCAUGUUGACUAUAUUAGAGUUCCAACGGUAAAAGAUGGGCAUGCGUCCUAUUAGCUAGAUGGUAAGGUAACGGCUUACCAUGGCAACGAUAGGUAGGGGUCCUGAGAGGGAGAUCCCCCACACUGGUACUGAGACACGGACCAGACUCCUACGGGAGGCAGCAGUGAGGAAUAUUGGACAAUGGGCGCAAGCCUGAUCCAGCCAUGCCGCGUGCAGGAAGAAGCAUCUAUGGUGUGUAAACUGCUUUUGUACGGGAAGAAACACUCCGACGUGUCGGAGCUUGACGGUACCGUAAGAAUAAGGAUCGGCUAACUCCGUGCCAGCCGCCGCAGUAAGAC